UGGUGUGUCUACUCCAGCACAGGGGAGAGCAAAGGAUUAAUUGGACUCUGCAAGCUCAGUUAGCCCACUUUGCUGCACCUGGAGGGUGUGUCUUGUUAUUAGGUCUAGCUGGGGAGGAUUUGGGCCUUCUUGAAAGAAGGAAAUCAAAAGCUGUAGGGUAGGCUGAGAAGAUAGACCUAGGAGAGAGGAGAGCUAGAUGUCUACGCAGGCCUGAGAGAAAUGAUUGUGCCAGAUAGAGGAUGACUGGAGGAAAGCAAAGAUACUUACAAGCCACAGCUGAUUUAUUACUGAUUGGUGUUUCUGAGGGAAAACAAAUCCAUUUACCUACCAAAUCUCAACAUAUGGUUACAGGAACUGUAAGUGACGGAGCAGUGUGGACCAGCCAAGCCGAGAGUUUAUAGCAACUCAUGGGUUACCUGCCUAGCUGAAGAUGCUGAUGUGAGGAUGAUCGUGCUGGCUCCUGAAUAACACCAAGUCCCACCGGCUGACCGUACUGUUGGAACUAAGUCAUUGCAGCUGUUAGCUCUAAACAUCCAAUACAACUAUAGGCGAGUGAGUUGGAUUCCAUUGUGCUCACUGCAUCCGCAUCCAAAUUGUGAAUUCUGAACUGCCUACAGCAGUGGUUCCUAAACUUUUCGGCAUCACACCCCCUUUUUAAUUUUCAAGAAACCCUCACAGCCCCACCUCUCCUUUACCAUCAUCCAACCCCCCUGUUCCUUGUCCCCUGACUGCCCACUCCCAGGACCCCUCCCCUUA